GAGCGCAUAUUGCACUUUCUGGUAUUCCGGAAAGUAUGCCUGUUUGAGGGUCAGUUAAAUAAAAAUCGAUGUUGUUGCUACCCGUAGUGGUGUUUAAUGCAUCGGAAUUGGGUUGUCUUUACCUUUUUUGGUUAAAGUGACUUAAAAUUAUGUACGAUUUUUUGAACGUAUUUAAAUUGUUUACGUAUGUUCAUAAUAUCAAAUAUAUUAGGUGCGAUCAUCCUCAUGAUUUCGCGUCUAUAAUUUUCAUUAUUUGACCUCAAAUCAGGUAAGAGUACCCGCUGAACUUAA
rnacentral:misc_RNA from 1 species